GGCCGUCUAGCUCAGUUGGUUAGAGCGUCGUGCUAAUAUCGUAUCACAGUACCCUGUUAACGCGAAGGUCUUGGGUUCGACCCCCACGAUGGCCA